UACGUAGGUGGCAAGGCGUUGUCCGGAUUUACUGGGCGUAAAGAGCGCGCAGGCGGUCGUCCAAGUCGCGUGUGAAAGCCCCCCGGCUCAACUGGGGAGGGUCACGCGAUACUGAUCGACUCGAAGGCAGGAGAGGGUAGUGGAAUUCCCGGUGUAGUGGUGAAAUGCGCAGAUAUCAGGAGGAACACCGGUGGCGAAGGCGGUUCUCUGGGCAUGUCCUGACGCUGAGGAGCGAAAAGUGUGGGGAGGCGAAACAGG
rnacentral:rRNA from 1 species